rnacentral:rRNA from 1 species
AGAUUGAACGCUGGCGGCAGGCCUAACGCAUGCAAGUCGAGCGGCAGCACGGGUACUUGUACCUGGUGGCGAGCGGCGGACGGGUGAGUAAUGCCUAGGAAUCUGCCUGGUAGUGGGGGAUAACGCUCGGAAACGGACGCUAAUACCGCAUACGUCCUACGGGAGAAAGCAGGGGACCUUCGGGCCUUGCGCUAUCAGAUGAGCCUAGGUCGGAUUAGCUAGUUGGUGAGGUAAUGGCUCACCAAGGCGACGAUCCGUAACUGGUCUGAGAGGAUGAUCAGUCACACUGGAACUGAGACACGGUCCAGACUCCUACGGGAGGCAGCAGUGGGAAUAUUGGACAAUGGGCGAAAGCCUGAUCCAGCCAUGCCGCGUGUGUGAAGAAGGUCUUCGGAUUGUAAAGCACUUUAAGUGGGAGAAGGUUGUAACUUAAUACGUUGCAACUUUUGACGUUAACCGACAGAAUAAGCAACGGCUAACUUCGUGCCAG